rnacentral:misc_RNA from 1 species
UUUCCGUAGGUGAACCUGCGGAAGGAUCAUUAAUGUGUUUGGGCCUCACGGCUCUUCAUUCCGACGCUGUGCGCCUUCGGGCUGCACGCUGAGGGAGCAUAUAUCCACCCCUGUGCACACACACGGUGGCGAGCUGGGUAACGGCUCGCCGCUGAUCUUUACACACGUCUAAAAGUCAUUGUAUGUUUAUUUGAGAUAAAAACACAACUUUCAGCAACGGAUCUCUUGGCUCUCGCAUCGAUGAAGAACGAGC